UACGGAGGGUGCGAGCGUUGUUCGGAAUCACUGGGCGUAAAGGGCGUGUAGGCGGUCCGCUAAGUCUGAUGUGAAAGCCCGGGGCUCACCCCCGGAAGUGCAUUGGAAACUGGCGGACUCGAGUCCCGGAGAGGAGAGUGGAAUUCCUGGUGUAGCGGUGAGAUGCGUAGAUAUCAGGAGGAACACCGGUGGCGAAGGCGGCUCUCUGGACGGUGACUGACGCUGAGACGCGAAAGCGUGGGGAGCAAACAGG
rnacentral:rRNA from 1 species